AAAGAAACAUCAUCUCAUAAAGGUUAAAUGAUUACAACAAAAUAUUAUUACGAUAGAUUUGCUCCUCAAUCACUCAUGUAAAAUCUAUGAAGCAUAGAUACUUCACAUCAUAAAAGUAUUCAUAGGUGGGAUUUGGUUAAACAUUAAUUGUGUAUAAAAGGACAAAACAUAUCAUCUUCUUCCUCAAAGCCACCUCAGCUGCCGACUCUCUCUCCCACAGUUCUUCAUCAAUCUUCGUCGCCACUUUUUUCUUUGUCCAACCUCAUCUGGACCAUUUGUGUGUCAUCCACCGUCACUAUCCUUUGUCCUUGCCGCUUACCGAUUUUGGUUAAGAUCGGUGAACUAGGCUUAGAGGAAUUUUCAACCUCCAAUUGGGUAAGUAUGGUAAGCUAAGGUAAUUAAAAUUUUAAUUUUAAUUUUGAUUAUGCACACGUGGGAUUUAUGGUUUCCUUUGCAGCAAGCAAUUUAGCAUAACUUGAGGUAAAGGUUCUACUAAUUGUUAAUUGUGAAGGGUAGCCAUUGAGUUUAGUUUUAUGAUGUUGUCCACAAGUUUUAUGAUCUGAAAUUUCAUCCAUCUGAUCUGUUAGCCACAAUUGAUGGCAAAAAGAUUCAUUUCAACACGAAGGUCAUAAACGAGUUGUAUGACUUGCCCAACGACAUGGAAUACUUAGGGCAAGAUAUAAUUACAAAACCAAAAAAAAGGUUGGACAAGGAGACGUUGAAAGUGAUAGUGUGGCCAGGCGCAAAAUGGGAAGAUUUCAAUUGUACCCACAUCAGCUGACUAUUAAGGCGAAUGUGUGGUUGUUUUUCAAUGGAAAAAGAAGAUCCUUCCCACAUGCCAUGAUAGUACAAUUUUAGUGGAUUACACGAUGAUCUUGUACUGGAUUAUGAAGAAGAAGGUGAUUAACUUGGGCGAAAUUAUCAAAACUGACAUCCUCGCAUGGAUCGAAAUGCCUAAAGGAGCCAUGCCCUUUCCCUCAACAGUGGAGAAGUUGUGUUUAAAAUUUCUUUCUUUAUUGACUAGAUACCCCCAACAAGAUAUUCCAAACAGGGUUUGCACUUAGGCGGGAUUAAAUAGAGUCAUAACACUUCAUCAAAAUAAUAAAGAAGAAUGCCGCUUGAAGACAGGGGUCAAGUUAGAGACCCUAAAGGAAUGAAUCUGAAUGAAUAAAUACUUCUACUUCUAUCACACCCCGUUCCGCACACAACCUUGCUUGUCAUGAGAGACGUGAUGCUACUUGAGCAUCUUUGACACGGCUAAACGUCAAAGACACUCAAUUUUGAGGUCCUUAAGCUUUGCUUAAUCACCUAGUCUUUUGAACUUAAACUUAACCUUUAACUUUAGGUGAUACAAACAACUUACCACAACAAUAAUACUUGGCAGAAAAACAACUGAACGCAUAACAGAAAAAACCAAACUUAUACACUACAAGAAAUAACAUAUACGAUACCUAACGAAAAAGGCUAUAAUAGACUUUUUAUAGCUUUCUUCGAAAGUCCUGACAGCCCAUGUUAUUAAAAGUCUGAAACUUUUUAUAGCGUUUUUAUGAAGCUAUAAUGAGUGCUGUUGUAGAGUAUGAGGAUGUAGCCUAUAUACGUUCCUAUAAAAACAUUUGAUAGCGUUUUUCUUUAGAGCAGUUUAUAUAGCUUAAACAAUGUGCUAUCUAUAACAUAUAAUAGCAUUUUUUUCAAUGCUAUAAUAUAGUAUUUACAGCUACAAUAUUAAGCUAUAAUAUAGAAUUUACAACUUUAAUAUUAAGCUAUAAUAAUGUCAUUUAAUCCUUUUCAAUUAUUAUAAUAAUUAUAGUAACAUUUUAAUUG